rnacentral:RNase_P_RNA from 1 species
GAGCGGGCCGGGCAGCCGCGGGCACAGGCCGAAAGGCCGUGCGUGAGGAAAGUCCGGGCUCCAUAGGGCAAGGAUAACGGGUAACGCCCGCCGAAGGCAACUUCAGGACAAGUGCAACAGAGAUAUACCGCUGGGCCCCGCGCCCAGUAAGGGUGGAAAGGCGGAGGUAAGAGCCCGCCCGGCGGCUGGAGACAGCUGUCCGCUGUAAACUCUAUCCGGAGCAACACCGUGGAGGGACAUACAGGCCGGCCCGGCCGUCCCGUGGAGGUGGCUGAAACCAGCCGGCAACGACUGGUUUAGAUAGAUGGCUGUCCAACGACAGAACCCGGCUUACAGACCCGCUCA